rnacentral:rRNA from 1 species
AUGCCGCGCCUGGAGACGCAGACGAAGCCCGGCGUCCCUUCGAUGGCUGGCUGCGGCGCGGCUGCCUCCCGCGGCCGACGCCGCCACCGAUCUCCUAGUCCUCCUCUCCAGGAUCAUGGGGUAUCAAAUUUAAGCGAAUCGGAAGGUUCCAGGACCGACAGCAGGCACCGACGCCGCCGUAAGGGACGUGGACGCAACAGAAGUGGCAAGAGAAGCCGCUGCCGUCGCGGUCGAUCGCGUGGUAGCAGUAGCGAUAGCGAUGUUGACUCGGAGACCUCCUACGAGAGCAGGAAGAGAUCAAGGAGAAGCAGCCACAAUCGCUCGAGUGGGACGAAAAGCAAGGGAUCUGAUUUCUGCGGCUCCGGUAAACACGAUCGCGCCGCCAAGGGCAAUGUCAAGGCCGGCGAUGAGAAGAAGGACGCGAUCGAGUCUAAGAAUAUGUCCGCGUCGAGGAAGCAGCAGCCCGCUCCGGACGACGACCCGGCACCGCUAGUCGGGCCACUGCCGCUGCCCCACGUCGAUGUCCAUGUCAAGUACGGCGGCGCGCUCCGGCCGGGGGAGGGCGACGCCAUGGCGCAGUUCGUGCAGCAGGGGAAGCGGAUCCCGCGGCGCGGCGAGGUGGGCCUGUCCGCCGAGGAGAUCCAGAGGUUCGAGGAGGCCGGGUACGUGAUGAGCGGGAGCAGGCACUCGAGGAUCACAGCCGUGCGCCUCCGAAAGGAGAACCAAGUGUACAGCGCCGAGGAGAAGCGCGCGCUCGCGACCUUCAACUACGAGCAGAGGGCGAUGCGGGAGAGCAAGGUCAGGGACGACCUCAGGCGCCUCGUGGACAAGACGCUCGGCAAACUCGCCGAGACACAGCAUGACCCGUUCGCCAUGCCUCCUUCACGUUAG